rnacentral:rRNA from 1 species
UACAGAGACUGCGAGCGUUAUUCGGAUUCACUGGGCGUAAAGGGUGCGCAGGCGGCCGUGUGUGUGAGGCGUGAAAGCCCAGGGCUUAACCCUGGAAUUGCACCUCAAACUACAUGGCUAGAGCAUUGGAGAGGGAAGCGGAAUUCACGGUGUAGCAGUGAAAUGCGUAGAUAUCGUGAGGAACACCAGAGGCGAAAGGCGGCUUCCCUGGACAAUUGCUGACGCUCAGGCACGGAAAGCGUGGGGAGCAAAAGGG